UACGGGGGGGGCAAGCGUUGUUCGGAAUUACUGGGCGUAAAGGGCUCGUAGGCGGCCAACUAAGUCAGACGUGAAAUCCCUCGGCUUAACCGGGGAACUGCGUCUGAUACUGGAUGGCUAGAGGUUGGGAGAGGGAUGCGGAAUUCCAGGUGUAGCGGUGAAAUGCGUAGAUAUCAGGAGGAACACCGGUGGCGAAGGCGGUUCUCUGGGCCUUACCUGACGCUGAGGAGCGAAAGCAUGGGGAGCAAACAGG
rnacentral:rRNA from 1 species